UACGUAGGGGGCAAGCGUUGUCCGGAUUUAUUGGGCGUAAAGAGCGUGUAGGCGGUCAGGUAGGUCGGUUGUGAAAACUGGAGGCUCAACCUCGAGACGCCGAUGGAAACCGUCUGGCUAGAGUCCGGAAGAGGAGAGUGGAAUUCCUGGUGUAGCGGUGAAAUGCGCAGAUAUCAGGAAGAACACCCGUGGCUAAGGCGGCUCUCUAGUACGGUACUGACGCUGAGACGCGAAAGCGUGGGGAGCGAACAGG
rnacentral:rRNA from 1 species